rnacentral:rRNA from 1 species
UCAAGCUACAAAGGGCGCAUGGUGAAUGCCUUGGCAUCAGGAGCCGAUGAAGGACGUGAUAAGCUGCGAUAAGCUUCGGGUAGGCGCACAUAGCCUGAGAUCCGAAGAUCUCCGAAUGAGGAAACUCACAUGGGAAACCCCAUGUAUCAUUAAGUGAAUACAUAGCUUAAUGAAGGUAACCCAGGGAACUGAAACAUCUAAGUACCUGGAGGAAGAGAAAGAAAAAUCGAUUUUCUUAGUAGCGGCGAGCGAAAGGGAAAGAGCCCAAACCGGAAACUUGUUUCCGGGGUUGUGGACAUAGCAUCAAAGUGGAGGCUAUUGUAACUGAAGAGAACUGGAAAGUUCCACCGUAGAAGGUAAUAGUCCUGUAAGUGAAACGAGAAGACCACGAGUUAUGAUCCAGAGUACCACGAGACACGUGAAACCUUGUGGGAAGCAGGGAGGACCACCUCCCAAGGCUAAAUACUACCUGAUGACCGAUAGUGAAGCAGUACCGUGAGGGAAAGGUGAAAAGAACCCCGGGAGGGGAGUGAAAUAGAACCUGAAACCGUGUGCCUACAACCGCUCAGAGCCCCUUAUGAGGGUGAUGAGGUGCUUUUUGUAGAACGAGCCAACGAGUUACGGUAUGUAGCAAGGUUAAGUACUUAAGGUACGGAGCCGAAGGGAAACCGAGUCUGAAUAGGCGACUAGUUGCAUGCCGUAGACCCCGAAACCGGGUGACCUAUCCAUGGCCAGGUUGAAGCGAGGGUAAAACCUCGUGGAGGACCGAACCACGUUGCUGUUGAAAAAGCAUGGGAUGAGCUGUGGAUAGCGGAGAAAUUCCAAUCGAACCCGGAGAUAGCUGGUUCUCUCCGAAAUAGCUUUAGGGCUAGCGUCGAGUAUGAGUAGUGGAGGUAGAGCACUGAAUGGGCUAGGGGGCAUAGCGCUUACCGAACCUUAUCAAACUCCGAAUGCCACAUACUUUGAGCUCGGCAGUCAGACUACGAAUGAUAAGAUCCGUGGUCAAAAGGGAAACAGCCCAGAUCGUCAGCUAAGGUCCCAAAGUGUAAGUUAAGUGGGAAAGGAUGUGAGAUUUCUAAGACAACUAGGAUGUUGGCUUAGAAGCAGCCAUUCAUUAAAAGAGUGCGUAAUAGCUCACUAGUCGAGAGAUCUUGCGCCGAAAAUGUAACGGGGCUAAACUUACCACCGAAGCUACGGGCUUGAACUUAGUUCAAGCGGUAGGAGAGCGUCGUAACCGGGCUGAAGUCGUACCGUAAGGAGCGGUGACUGGUUACGAGUGAGAAUGUUGGCAUCAGUAGCGAGAUGUGGGUGAGAAUCCCACAGGCCGAAAACCUAAGGUUUCCUCAGGAAGGUUCGUCCGCUGAGGGUUAGUCGGGACCUAAGCCGAGGCCGAAAGGCGUAGGUGAUGGACAACUGGUUGAUAUUCCAGUACCACUACCAUCGUUAUUAUCGAUGGCGUGACGCAGGAGGAUAGUGUGUGCUAGCUAUUGGAUGCUAGUCUAAGCGUUUAGGCAGUGAGAGUAGGCAAAUCCGCUCUCAUAAUGCUGAGGCGUGAUGGGGAAGGUUCUACGGAACCGAAGUACAUGAUUCCACGCUGCCAAGAAAAGCGUCUAGAGAGAGAAGUAGUGCCCGUACCGCAAACCGACACAGGUAGGUGAGGAGAGAAUCCUAAGGCCGGCGGAAGAAUUACAGUUAAGGAACUCGGCAAAUUGACCCCGUAAGUUCGCGAGAAGGGGUGCCUACGAGAGUAGGCCGCAGAGAAUAGGCCCAAGCAACUGUUUAGCAAAAACACAGGUCUCUGCUAAAGCGUAAGCUGAUGUAUAGGGGCUGACGCCUGCCCGGUGCUGGAAGGUUAAGGGGAACACUUAGCGCAAGCGAAGGUGUGAACUUAAGCCCCAGUAAACGGCGGCCGUAACUAUAACGGUCCUAAGGUAGCGAAAUUCCUUGUCAGGUAAGUUCUGACCCGCACGAAUGGCGUAAUGACUUGGGCACUGUCUCAACUGUAAAUCCGGCGAAGUUGUAGUGCGAGUGAAGAUGCUCGCUACCCGCGAUUGGACGGAAAGACC